GGAUUGCAGGCUGCAACCCGCCUGUAUGAAGUUGGAAUCGCUAGUAAUCGCGGAUCAGCAUGCCGCGGUGAAUACGUUCCCGGGCCUUGUACACACCGCCCGUCACACCAUGAGAGUCGGGAACACCCGAAGUCCGUAGUCUAACUUUCACGAGAGGACGCGGCCGAAGGUGGGUUCGAUAAUUGGGGUGAAGUCGUAACAAGGUACC
rnacentral:rRNA from 1 species